UUUUUAGUUAAAUCUGUCCGCAGUGCGUUCAAGAUGUAACUGAAGGACCUGCUUUUCAUCUGUUCCGCAUUCUAAGAAAGUAACGAUCGACUCAUGUAUCAUAGGCGCACAAUCGGACAUGGAUAAGCGUACUUGUUGGGUAGUGUUGGGUAGUGUGUUUUUCUGAUCACCGAUUCGUUAAGAUUGCCCUCACACAAUUUCACAACUUGUUUUUCGAUCAAAACUCAAGAAGCUGAUUAUCAGCUGUUCGCAAUACUUCUGUACUUACUUAGCACUCUCAUGAGUCAUAAAAAUAAAGAACCCUAUCUAACCACUUCUUCAGCAGUCUCUGCCACUUCAAGACUCGAGAGAAAACAAUAGCCCACUUGACUGCAGCAUUUUCAUUUUGGUGUAUCUCAACUGUCAAUUCUCAAGGCAAGUUGAACGUUGAACGGCGAUGUUGAACUCUCAAACAAUUUAAAUUAGUGAUUACUGAUUGGCUUCUUAUUUAGAUUUUGCCUCUCAGACCCAAUGAGAGGCGUAUCUUUGUCCGUCCGGUUCUAUUUUCUUUAUUAUUUAUGAUUAUAAUUGUGUCCAUUGAUCAUCGACAAAACUUUUAGCAACACAACUGUGACAACAUGACGUAAGCAAAGCAGACGAAAAUAGGGGCUUUCGUCAUUCAUUUGUGUAGAUGUCACUGAAAUCGAUUGUUUUGAAAAUCUUCCCUAAAAAUGCAGUCACUUUUUUAUAUUUGUGAAAAUUCGACCCGUUGAAUAAAUCGCUCGAUUCCUUCUUUACAGCCGGCUUUUAAAUGAAUUCCUAACACUCAGUUACCGUUGACCAAGAGCCAUUAAGGGGGAGGUCAGUACCAUUCAUCGUGGCAACCUGGGGCUUGUCAAGUAAUAAGUUAUCCGAGCAAUCGCGAUUCCAUAAGCAUACACGGGAAAUUUAGUUCGAACUGAUUCCCGGUAGAGGGUUUUUCCCGUGUAUGCUUAUGGAAUCGCGAUUGCUCGGAUAACUUACUUUCUUGACUUGCCCCUGAUGAGUCAACAAUCAUCGUUAAGCUAGCUUCGAAAAUUAUCAAUGAUUCAUAGUCAGAGUAAACGUGAAAGUCAUGCAACCUACCGUCAACUAUUUUGUUCAAACUCAUUGUAUUCUACUGAAUGUGUCAUCGAAAUGAUACAGGAUUAAUCUUAAUUAUCGGCUGUUUCUAUUGAACUUGCUAGAUCACCGACCCCAGCAUGGAACAAUCUCUCAUUCAACAAUCUUAUAGAGAAUCUUGGAUAACUGAUUUAUGGUUUCAUGUGUUUCUAAAUUGGCAUGACUGACUAAUAUGAGAAGUUAUGUCCUUCCAAGA